rnacentral:rRNA from 1 species
AUUGAACGCUGGCGGAAUGCUUUACACAUGCAAGUCGAACGGCAGCACGGACUUCGGUCUGGUGGCGAGUGGCGAACGGGUGAGUAAUAUAUCGGAACGUGCCCAGUCGUGGGGGAUAACGUAGUGAAAAUUACGCUAAUACCGCAUACGAUCUAUGGAUGAAAGCGGGGGAUCGCAAGACCUCGCGCGAUUGGAGCGGCCGAUAGCAGAUUAGGUAGUUGGUGAGGUAAAGGCUCACCAAGCCGACGAUCUGUAGCUGGUCUGAGAGGACGACCAGCCACACUGGAACUGAGACACGGUCCAGACUCCUACGGGAGGCAGCAGUGGGGAAUUUUGGACAAUGGACGCAAGUCUGAUCCAGCCAUUCCGCGUGCAGGACGAAGGCCUUCGGGUUGUAAACUGCUUUUGUACAGAACGAAAAGGUCUCUAUUAAUACUAGGGGCUCAUGACGGUACUGUAAGAAUAAGCACCGGCUAACUACGUGCCAGCCGCCACGGUAA